UGGGGGAUAUUGCACAAUGGGCGAAAGCCUGAUGCAGCGACGCCGCGUGGGGGAUGAAGGCUUUCGGGUUGUAAACCUCUUUCGCUAUCGAACAAGGCCCGCUUAGGGUGGGUUGAGGGUAGGUGGAGAAGAAGCGCCGGCUAACUACGUGCCAGCAGCCGCGGUAAUACGUAGGGCGCGAGCGUUGUCCGGAAUUAGUGGGCGUAAAGGGCUUGUAGGCGGCUUGUUGCGCCUGCUGUGAAAACGCGGGGCUUAACUUCGCGCGUGCAGUGGGUACGGGCAGGCUUGAGUGUGGUAGGGGUGACUGGAAUUCCAGGUGUAGCGGUGGAAUGCGCAGAUAUCUGGAGGGACACCGAUGGCGAAGGCAGGUCACUGGGCCAUUACUGACGCUGAGGAGCGAAAGCAUGGGUAGCGAACAGG
rnacentral:rRNA from 1 species